UUUUCCAACAGAAUACACCACUAACCACACACACACACGUAUAUAUGUAUCCACGUAACUACGUUCUUCUCUCGAGUGUUCGCCUCAACCGCGCCAUUUCACGUAUGAAAAAGCUCGGCAAAGCUCGAGUGACGUAUGUACCCAGGUAUGGCUGUUCUAAUCCAAACGAAGCAUAAAGGUACAGCAGAAGCAAAGCCAGCGGUAGAUGGCCACGAGGAGCUCGGGGCAUUACAGGGAGAACAGGAUGGUUCAUCCUCGAAUGUGACUUAACACGACGAGAGACAAUGGGCAUUGUUAAAUAUUCGAGAUUCACGAAGGGCUCGAGAGCUUCCCGCACGUUUGUUUCCCGCGUACUAGGUCGGUAGUGGUACUGGCGACGUAACGGCUUGGGCGCAUUUACAUAUAAAUUGCUCGCCUAAAAUCAUACUCAUAUUUAAUUUUACAGUACGCCGGCUGCCCGCACUCCGACGCAACGUCAACCUCUCUCUCCUGCACGUUCGCUUCUACUAUGCGGUACCCGUUUAAAUUGGUAGAACAUAUCUUGACGAAAUCACAUUAAAUCACGGCUUCACGGACAUUACAAAACUCGAACGCGGCACAAGUGACGACGCCAGCGCUUAGGUUAUUCGAAUGGAAAUUUCGAACUUGUUCGUUAACGAAGUUACCCGAAGCGCAGCGCCACACAACGGCGGACGGGCGCACUAACGGCCAUCCUUCCGCCAGCAUAGACUCUGUCGCCCGUCUUUCAUACGUGACACUAAAGGCCUGUUUGCGAAUCGUUUACAAUGUUAUUUCGUAUCUUCACAACUUCUAGAGUAAAAGCAAUGUGUCUAAUUGUCUGCAUGCCGUGAACUCACGAGCCAAUCGUCAAAUCACAGACCUCGCAUGACGACAGUGACAGCCAAUCGGAAGACCGGAAAAACUGUGACAGAACUUUACCACAUAUUUUCGAUACACUACAACGUUAAGCAUGUGACACGGAUCUCAUACCAAAGGGUCGGUUCGUCCUUCGACACUGGUGACUGGUUCACGCGAGGGGUUGAUGAUUCGAGCCUGGCGAUUUUUGCACUACGCGUAUUUUCGGACGGAUUCACCGUGUCGUGUCUUCUUAUAAAGGAUGAUGGAGGACAUGGUGUGAAAUGGGUCGAAGGUCCAAGAUAGAAAAUCUCAAGGGUAGAUGACGAUCCAGAUGGUGAACGAUUGCGAAGGAUAAACUAAGUUAUGAAAUCACGGAUCACGUCAGGGUAUUCACAGACGAGAGCAGGAAGACUACGUACAUCCUAUACGUCGCAGACUUGGAGGAGGGAGCAGGGUUAAUAAAAAAUUGAAAUCAACCCCAGUCAAAUCCAGCGCAACGAGAGCCCGUGGGCGCAGUACCCAACCGAAGUGGCAAGAUCCUCAAGAUAUCGUUAGGCCGCAGACCCCAUCAUCCCCGCCGAGCCAAAGUUCAAAGCAGAUUACACAUAAGGAACCACGUUCGCCGGAAGCGAAACUCGUUAGCCAUCGACGUCCCUGCAAAGUCUCUCUGAGACAGGGUGAUUGGAAGUUGCUAGGCGACUGCAAAUGCAGCUAUGGGCGACGCGAAGUAAAACAAGGGAACUCGGACGUACGGAAGCAUUAUCCUCGAGAGAAUAAGGGCUGCCAUCGUCAACCCAAGACUGCCGCCGCUGCUCGGAUCAUCCUGCUGCACCGAACGAGGCGAAAGGUUCGUGUCUGAACUAUAGGAAGCAGCUGACGAAGGGCCUGAGUGAGAAGCUACGGCAGCUCGUUAAUUCCACGGCGACUCGGCAACGUGGCUGAACUUCGUCCUUAUGGAACUUAAGGAGCUUCGUGGGUCCGGAUCGUGAGUAGCUCUGCCGUAUGCACAGUGGCCGCUCGGCGUGAAUUACUCGUCGCUACUUCGAUUCGAACGUGAACCCGAGAAAGUGAGAUACAGCAGAUACCGGAUGCUGGGGAUGGACGACGUUUAAUCUUACAGAGAGUACAGUUAUACUCUCUAUUGGCAUAAGAAAUUCCAAGAUUUCAAUGCUUACCGGAAUAAUGCUGUAUUACACGAACCUGAUGCUUCCUGAGAGACUUUGCAAUUGCGCAACACGCCAUCAUCGAUUUCCAUUAAUUUUCAUCCGGAAUUGACUUUUACGGUGGAAAUAGAAUUAAGCGAGGUAAGAACUCGUUACGUUACGCGAAUUUCUUUGCUCUCCAGCAUCUCUCUCUCUCUCUCUCUCUCUCUUUCUGUCUCUGUACCAAUUCUCGCUAUAGUCGACGAUACUCGGUGCUCACUUAAUUGUCUACGAAUACUAAGCACAUUGAAUUGAGGCAUUGACGAAUAAAUUGACUUAAACUU